rnacentral:rRNA from 1 species
UGGGGAAUAUUGGACAAUGGGGGCAACCCUGAUCCAGCAAUGCCGCGUGAGUGAUGAAGGCCCUAGGGUUGUAAAGCUCUUUUACCAGGGAUGAUAAUGACAGUACCUGGAGAAUAAGCUCCGGCUAACUCCGUGCCAGCAGCCGCGGUAAUACGGAGGAUGCAAGCGUUAUCCGGAAUAAUUGGGCGUAAAGCGUUCGUAGGUGGUUCUGUAAGUCUGCUGUUAAAGCGUGUAGCUCAACUACAUAUAGGCAGUGGAAACUACAGAACUUGAGUGCGUUCGGGGUAGAGGGAAUUCCUGGUGUAGCGGUGAAAUGCGUAGAGAUCAGGAAGAACACCGGUGGCGAAGGCGCUCUACUAGACCGCAACUGACACUGAGGGACGAAAGCUAGGGGAGCGAAUGGGAUUAGAUACCCCCGUAGUCC